rnacentral:rRNA from 1 species
CACGCAGGCGGUCCGCUAAGUUCGGAGUGACAGUCACCAGCUUAACUGGUGAAGGACUUUGAAAACUGGCGGGCUUGAGAGCGAGAGAGGGACAUGGAAUUUCGGGUGGAGCAGUGAAAUGCGUAGAUAUCCGGAGGAAUACCAAAGGCGAAGGCAGUGUCCUGGCUCGUAUCUGACGCUGAGGUGCGAAAGCUAGGGGAGCGAACGGGAUUAGAUACCCCGGUAGUCCUAGCCGUAAACGAUGACCACUAGGUGUGGGAGGUAUCGACCCCUUCCGUGCCGCAGUUAACACAGUAAGUGGUCCGCCUGGGGAGUACGGUCGCGAGACUAAA